CUGUAAUAUGCAGUUAAUGCAAUUGUUUACAAAUGAGUGAAGUGAAAUUGCUGCCAACUGCUCCCAUUGCUUCGAAAAUUAUUCUGACUUCAGAAUUAGACUGUCAGUCAAUUAGACUGACAUCAGACAUAAACACAAGGCAAAAGUGCAACGGAGAAUGUUCGAGAAUCAAAAACCCAAAUACAUUUCGUGUGAUCGACGAGAUUUGCUUGUCUGUCUUGCUCGGGGAUCCAGCUGUUCCAUAUCUCGUUGUGCUCAUGUGGUAGAUUUCUGUUGCAGAAUUCUUUGUAAAUUCUCUCUCUAUUUCAUUCCAGAAUUCUAUUUAAUUACAGUUGUUUUGGGGUUCUCUUUGGUUUUGUAUAAUUAUA
rnacentral:lncRNA from 1 species